AAAACCAGCUGCAUGCGGUAUCUUGUGAAGUUUGGGAAGAUAUAUGACAUCCGAGAUGAUUUCAAUGCUUUCUUGCUAUGCGCAGACAGGGACUUGAUAGCAGAAGUCUUCGGCGAAGUUCUUGGUGCCUGGAAAGGUUUCUGAAGUCUGCAAAAAUUAAAGAAGUCAUAAGCGUGGCUUCAUAUCUGUCCUACCUAUAAAUAUGUGGAUUGCUAGUAAAAUUAGUGUCCAGGAUUUGUUGUCAUGAUGAUUCUUUAGUGCAGAUUGAAUUUUUUUUAUGUCUUCAUGUACGUAUAUAUUGGCUCUGAACUGAUGACAUAGGAGUCGUCAUCCGUGUUACAGAAACAUAAAUUCUUGGAUUCAACAAUGAAAUUUGAAUGAUUUAUAUCUUGUUCUGUUCCUGUUUUUUUUUUUUCCAGAUAACUGGGGCCAAGUGAGUUGAUAUGUGCAUACUGAAAUUACUUCACCAUGUUUUCCAUCUAUUCGGGAUCAAUUGAACAAGAACCUAGAACAAAGAUUUCAUCCAAAUUUUAACAAAAUACAAUCCAACUUUAUGAAAUGAUAUCGACCAAUGUCAAACAAUAUGGUCGAAACUGUAUUCAAUGGGGGCGAAAGUAAGCAUAUAUAAUUUAUGGGAUCAAUAUUAGUUUUCACCAAAAAAAAGAGACAAACAUUUGUUUGCUGCAUAAAAUGCAAACAUAUUCCUACUCUGAUAUCAGAGAGUUUAGUAAGCAACAUCAAUGUGAAUUCAGAGUCCGACAACUCAAUCCAACUCUUCAUCAAUCCGAUUUCUCCUCACCCAGGACUACGGAUUAGUAAUAAUGUCAUUAAUGUAACGCUAAGGAAAGUAAUGAAGACAGAAUAGUAUAGAAAUCCUCCUUUUUACUCAAGUCUUAAAACUCAGCAUGAGCAAAGCAACCACAAGGGCAACUGGGCAAGUUUCAAAGCAAAGUUGCUUACCUUGGAGAGAAGCUCUCAUUUGGGGUUCUCCCUUCUUCUUUCUAACGUUGAUGUAAAGUAAGGGAUGCAUAAAAAUGAGAGCUUGAAUUAUUGCUCGCAAACCAUGACAGAAGAACACCUUCUGGGAGCUGCUUUUUAUAUGCAUUUGCUCAUGGAGAGAAUAUGGAAAGAAUAUAUUAGGACGAUCCUUUUGUUCUCUUUUUUAUUUUUG
rnacentral:lncRNA from 1 species